GACGAACGCUGGCGGCGUGCUUAACACAUGCAAGUCGAACGGAAAGGCCCUGCUUUUGUGGGGUGCUCGAGUGGCGAACGGGUGAGUAACACGUGUGUAACCUGCCCCUGACUUUGGGAUAACUUCAGGAAACUGGGGCGAAUACCGGAUAGGAGCUCCUGCUGCAUGGUGGGGGUUGGAAAGUGUCGGCGGUUGUGGAUGGACUCGCGGGUUAUCAGCUUGUUGGUGUGGUAGUGGCUUACCAAGGGUUUGACGGGUAGCCGGCCUGAGAGGGUGACCGGGCACAAUGGGCCUGAGGGACGGACCAGACUCGUACGUGAGGCAGCAGUGGGAAGUAUUGCAGAAUAGGGGGACGCCUGAUGCGGAAGCGCCGCGUGCGGGAUGCCGGCCUUCGGGUUGUAAACCGCUUUCGCCUGUGACGAGGCGUGCGUGACGGUAAUGGGUAAAGAAGCACCGGCUAACUACGUG
rnacentral:rRNA from 1 species